GAAUUCUAGAAGGUCCUACUGCAGUGCAAGAGGCAUUACUGCAGGUAUAAAAUCAAAGGCCCUUUCCUCAAGAGUAAUUCCAGCUGGAAAAGGACAGCCUUCCUCAAUAUCUCCUACCCAGAGGUUCCACCCUGUGCUUCCCAUGCCCUGUCCAUGCCCGGCCUGCCCAAAGCACAGCCACCCCAGAAAAGGUUCUUGAAGUAACACCUGAGGGACAGGCAGCAGAGCAGAUCUCGUGGAAAAAAGGGAAAAGAAAAGCCACCAAAGACAAAUACUACUCCCCCAACCGAAACCACAAAGUAAACAAAAAAUGAUACAAAAUAAAAAGAGGAAGGAAGCUUUUGGGAACA
rnacentral:lncRNA from 1 species